rnacentral:lncRNA from 10 species
CACGAAACCAUGGCUUCCUGAAGAAAUAGUUGAUUGCAGGUCUCAGACAGAAAAGCACAAUUUAACCUGGAACAUCCCACAUUCAAAGGGUUGGGGAAUUGAGUUUUAUCACUUAAAUGGAGGAGUAUCUUAGAAUUUGUGAGCAUAUUUUGAAACCACCACAAAUUCAUUAAAUGAUUUUGAUUUUUUAAAAGAUAUUCCAUCCGUAGACAUCCUUAUAAAACUCAAACAAUAUAAAGGCAUAUUCCAUACAGCAGAAAUUGAAAUGACCUCUUCACAACAAAACCCACUCAUACCCCCACUCCAACCUUCCUUGCACAACUUCACAGACUUCCCUAAAUAGAUACACACACGAGAGAGAGAGAGAGAGAUUUGGGGUUUUGAUUAUUAUAUGAAUGGGCUUGUCCUACUAUGCCACUUAUCAAUCAAAACAUCAUGUCUUGACUGGGCGCGGUGGCUCACACCUGUAAUCCCAGCACUUUGAGAGGCUGAGGCGGGCAGAUCACCUGAGGUUAGGAGUUCAAGACCAGCCUGGCCAACAUGGUGAAAACUCAUUUCUACUAAAACUACAAAAAAAUUAGCUGGUGGUGAUGGUGGGCACCUGUAAUCCCAGCUACUCGAGAGGCUGAGGCAGAAGAAUCACUUGAACCCGGGAGGCAGAGUUUGCAGUGAGCUGAUUUCACAGCAGUGUACUCCAGCCUGGGCAACAGAGCAAGAUUCUAUCUCAAAAACAAACAAACAAACAAACAAACAAACAACCACCAAAAAAAAAACCAUCAUGUCUUGAAGAUCUUUCCAUGUGAGCAUAGAGCUAAGUCAUUCUUCUUAAAAACUGCACCACAUUUCAUUGUGCUGAUGCACAGUAAUUUACUUAAUCAAUUCCCAGUAGGCAGGCAUAGAUGAUGUACCAUUUUGCCUUUUUUUCUAUUGUACACAUUGUUGCAGUGAAAUCUUUUCAGUCUUGCCCUUCUAGUCAUAGAAAUUAUAAGACCUUGGAAUGAAAAAACUGCUGCAUUAAAGGGUACGUGUAUAUUAAAGUUUAACAGUAGUUGCCAAAUGGUGAGUUGGGGGAAAUUCUCUGAAAGAGAAAUUGUUCCAGGAAAAAGGACAGAAUCUUUACCAGUUAGCCUGUUGGCAAGUAAGAAAAAACAACCCAAAGUGGCUCACAGGAAAGGAAAAGAUAUUUAUUAAAAGAUAGAGGAAUGCAGCCAGGCUUUGGUAGCAUAAGGGAAUGUAGAACUGAUAAGCCAUCCAGACUCUGUCUCUCAUCUGUGCUUCUUUCCCUAGUCCAAUUUCCUUGCCUUCUCCAUCCAUAAAAUAGAUAGAAUAUUGCAAUCUCAAGGCUUCCAUAUUUACAUCCCUGUCCAAGAGACCCAUCUAGACUAACUGGAACCCCAGAUUCCAGAAGGAGAGGGCCUCCUUGGUCAGACUGGGCCUGUUAAGUUGAAGAUGGUCGAGCGUCCUGCACUACAAACAUGGGACAUCCCACUACCAGGACACAUCCUUCCACUCUUAAUAAAACACCAGGGUUGAGGGUAAACUGCUUCCAGAGUAGAGACAACAUUGUGAUCUCAUGGGAAAAGAGACAGCCUACAUAUGUUAAAUAUACUGCUCUAGGCUGACUCUGGGUGCACUGCCUAUGAGUUCUUGAACUCUUGGGCUAAAGCAAUCCUCCUGCCUCAGCCUCUCAAAGUGCUGGGAGUACAGGUGUGAGCCACCUUGCCUAGCCAGUACCAUUUAUAAAAAUACUUAAAAAACAAAAUACAUUUACUGAUCUAAGAAUUAGUGAGAGAAAAAGUUAAGCAGUUAGGGUGGGUCCUUGGUAAAACGCCUUUAAACAGACAAACGGCCUGAAAAAUCAGGCCAAAGGCACAGAUAAGGAAACUUGCACAAACCUAUGGCCCAUUCAGAUAAAGGAACAAGGCCCAACAUAGAAACGCCUUUGUCCUUUGUGUCUAAGACAUGCCCACAGAUACACUGAUAUGGGAACAAGACCCAACACAGAAAUGCCUUUGUCCUUUGUAUAAUCAGCAGGCUUCCAGGAAACAGCGUCUUCUCCUUUUGGGGGCAUGUACGCGGCGGGCUCCAGUGGGUUCUGGUGGGCACUUUCCUUUCCUGUUUUGGACAUGCUUUGGACUGUGAGCCAAGCCUCUGUGAAUCAUCACUUCAGCCCCUGAUUGGUCCCAGGCAAGCUGACUAGGGCUUUCUCCAAGACCAUCAGCACACUUCUUCCCUUCCCAGUCCAUAAAAACCCCUGGACCCAGCUUUAUACUUGGCAACCCAUUCACCCGUCUCUGCUGUGGAGAGCUUUCUUCUUUCGCAUAUUAAACUUUUGCUCCAACCUCACCCUUUUGUGUCCAUGGUCCUUAAUUCUCUUGGUCAUGAGACAAAGGACUCUAGGUGAUACUUUGCAAGGAGACACUGUGGUGCAUUGGCGAGGACUCUUAACACUAAGACAGAACCCGACUUAAUGAUUUAAAAAAAAUUAUACUACUUCUGUAGUUAGUGAUUGCGAAGUAUCAUUUCCUGUCACCUCCUCAGUGCAGGGACUAAGAUCCUGUGGAUUCAGAGUAAUUGAAAACGUGGGGCUGGCACGGUGGCUCAUGUCUUUAAUCCCAGCACUUUGGGAAGCCUAGGUGAGAGGAUCACUUGAGCCUAGGAGGUUGAGACUAGCCUAGGUAACAUGGUGAAACGCAUCUCUGUACAAAAAAUACAAAAAUUAGCUGGGCAUGAUGGCACGCACUCGCACCUGUGGUCCCAGGUACUCGAGAGGCUGAAGUGGGAGGAUCACUUGAGCCCAGAGUCAGAGGCAGCAGUGAGCUGAGAUUGUGCCACUGCACUCCAGCCUGGGCUCGAAAAUGUGGAGUAGAAACACAGGGUUAUGCCAGGCAUGGUGGCUCCUGCCUGUAAUCCCAGCACUUUGGGAGACCAAGGCAGGCGGAUCACGAGGUCAAGAGAUUGAGACCAUCCUGGCCAACAUGGUGAAACCCUCUCUCUAAAAUACAAAAAUUAGCUGGGCAUGGUGGCUUGUGCUUGUAGUCCCAGCUACUUGGGAGGCUGAGGCAGGAGAAUCGCUUGAAUUCCGGAGGCAGAGGUUGCAGUGAGCCGAGAUUGCACCACUGCACUCCAGCCUGGCAAAAGAGCGAGACUCCGUCUCAAAAAAAAGAAAAAAAAAGAAUAAAAAGAAACGCAGGGUUAUAUAAUGCUAGUAACUUCAGCCUGAUUGUGUUAUUUUUGCUGUCGUUUAUUAAAAACAAGAAAAAAUGACAAAAUUGCUGCAUAGAGCUCCAGAGUGGGCAAGGCCUGUGCCCCAGGAACCUGUAUCAGCUGAGGCCCAGGGAUGGCUGCACCCACUGGCCCAGUCCAGGCCUAGAAGCAACAGACCCCGCAGGCUCCACGCCCUGAUGGCCCCAGUAGCCUCCCCGAGUCUGGACUCUUCGACUCAUAUCGGCUGGACGGCAGCAAACACUCGCCAGGCCACCUAGGACGUGGAAUCUUUCGGUGGCGGGCAAGGCAGGGCGACAAAAAUGGCGGUGCUGGAAGGCCCUAUUGAGACCUCUGGCCCAGAAGGCAAAGCUGUGUGGAGCAGUGACUGGCCAACGAGCUGCACGGAUCCGGGACUUGGAGUUGCCGCUCAGUGCCCCUGAGAUGGAACAAUAAUGACAAAGGCCUUCCAGGCCGGGAAAUGAGCGGCCCAGCGACUGUUAGAACCGUUAAAACCGUUAGCAACCUUCCGUGCAUGGAAAGAAAUGUCUUUUGGAAAGAACUUUUUGAAAUGGAAUUGUUAGACCACCAGUAGAAGCAACACACGUCCAUUUUUGUUCAAUGAUUUAGAAGACAUGGGACAGGGUGGCUCAUGCCUGUAAUCCCACCUGUUUGGGAGGCCAAGGCAGGUGGAUCAUCUGAGGUUGCGAGUUUGAAACCAGCCUGGCCAACAUGGUGAAAGCCCGUCUGUACUAAAAAUACAAAAAUUAGCUGGGAGUGGUGGCACGUGCCCAUAGUCCCAGCUACUGGGGAGGCUGAGGCAGGAUAAUCGCUUGAACCCCAGAGGCGGAGGUUGCAAAAUGCUGAGAUCAUACCACUGCACUCUAGCCUGGACGACAGCACAAGACUGUCUCAAGGAAAAAAGAAAAAAAAAAAGGCCUGAGGAGGAAGAGAAGAAGCUUCUACGCCAGUCUGGUCAUAUUUAGAAGUCAUCUUCAUAUUAUAACUAUGCUCUCUGUGUGAAUUUUAUUUCUCCCUGUAUAUACAAUUGAUAAGUAUUUUUUGAAAUAUCUAUGCCAAAAUGUUCAUAUUUAGAAGACACCUUAUUAUAACUAUUGCUAUGUGUGUGCAGUUUUAUUUAGCAGUUUUAUAUAUCUAGUGGACAGGUAAGUAAGCUCUUACUUGAAACAUCUAGUCUUUCUGGAUAUUUUCAAGUAUUUGAUGUAUCUAAAAUUAGAGAUAUCCGUUAGGCUGAUAGUUCCCUAAAUUUUUUUUAAAAAAGAAAUUAGAGGGCUGGGCGCGGUGGCUCAUGCCUGUAAUCCCAGCACUUUGGGAGGCCAAGGUGGGUGGAUCACGAGGUCAGGAGAUCGAGACCAUCCUGGUUAACACAGAGAAACCCCAUCUCUACUAAAAACAUAAAAAAUUAGCUGGGCAUGGUGGCGGGCACCUGUAGUACCAGCUACUCAGGAGGCUGAGGCAGGAGAAUAGCGUGAACCUGGGAGGCGGAGCUUGCAGUGAGCCAAGAUCGCACCACUGCACUCCAGCCUGGGCAACAGAGCAAAACUCCGACUCAAAAACAAAACAAAACAAAAAAAAAAGAAAUUAGAGGUAGUAGUAAAACACUUUGUAGAUAGUUUUUAAAAAUUGAUGGGCCUGGCUGGGCAUGGUGGCUCACGCCUGUAAUCCCAGCACUUUGGGAGGCCAAGGUGGGUGGAUCACCUGAGGUCAGGAGUUCAAGACCAACCUGGCCAACAUGGCAAAAUCUCAUCUCUACUAAACAUACAAAAAUUAGCCAGUGUCCUGGUGGACACGUAAUCCCAGGUACUGGGGAGGCUGAAGCAGGAGAAUCGCUUGAACCCGGGAAAGGGAGAUUGCAGUAAACCAAGAUCGUACCACCACACUCCAGCUUGGAUGACAGAGCGAGACUCUGUCUCAAAAAAAAAAAAAAAAUUCAUGUGACAAUUGUAUGAUUCCACUUAUAUGAGGUACUUAGAAUAGUUAAAUUCACAGAGACAGAAAGUAGAACAGUGGUUAUCAGAGGCCAAGGGGAUGGAGGAGCUGCUCACGGCGAGUUAUUGCUUCAAGGGUACAGAGUUUCAGUUUGGGAUGAUAAAAAAUUCUGGAGCUGGUUGGGAGUGAUGAUUGCACAACAGUGUGAAUGUACUUAAUGCCACUGAACUGUACACCUAAAAUGGUUAAACAGUAAAUUUUAUGUCAAAUAUAUUUUACCAUAAUAACAUUUUUAAAAAUUGAUGGGAAAUAUUAUUUUGCAAUGGAAUAGUUGCAAGUUGUUUGUUAAUUGUUCAAACCACCUUGGUACUUGCUCAUUUGGUUGAGGGAGAUUAGAGGGAAGAAAUUGCAAAAGAUGUUUUGCUAGUGUGUACUACAAGAUUUCAGAUGACUUGUUGCCUGGUAUAGUAGCUGCACUUCUUUAAACUUUGCUAUACUGUAUAUACAGCCAGGAAUGUUUUUCUCAAGGACAUGGCAGCUACCUCUUUGAAAUAAAAUCUUCAAGGGAGAUAGUUUUCCUAACUCUUACUUUUGUGGGAGGGUAGGAGUCUAACUUCAGUGGGUAUCUUGCUCCAAGCUGCAAAACUGCCUCCUGUCUUAGAGAUAUGAAACAUCUGUUUCUUCUUUGGAUAAAGCCAACUAGCAAACAAAGACCACCCCCAAUUAACAGAUACAUUUAAGAUGGACUAUAUGUGAUGAAUGAUGCUGUCAACUCCUCUUACUUGGGGACAAGUUAUCAUUUAUCAUAAGAAUAUGUAUGUCAUAGAUUGCAUCUGCUUGACAUCACAAAAUAUACCAGGAAAAAAGGGUGAAAUGUAUCCCUUUCUUGGUUGGGUGCGGUGGCUCAUGCCUGUAAUCCCAGCACUUUGGGAGGCAAAGGUGGGUGGAUCACCUGAGCCCAGGAGUUCCAGACCAGCCUGGGCAAUAUGGUGAGACCCCCCACCGUCUCUACAAAAAAUACAAAAAUUAGCUGGGUGUGAUGGCAUGUCCCCUGCACUCCCAGCUCCUUGGGAGGCUGAGGUAGGAGGAUGGAUUGAGCCUGAGAGGUCAAGACUGCGGUGAGCUAUGUGAUUGUACCACUGCAUUCCAGCCUGGGUGACAGAGUGAGACCCUUUCUCAAAAAAAAAAAAAAAAAAAAAAAAAAAGCAACAACAAAAAAACCCCAAAAAACGAAAACAAAAACAAAAACAAAAAAAGGUCGGGCGCGGUAGCUCAUGGUUGUAAUCCCAGCAUGUUGGGAAGCCAAGGUGGGUGGAUCACCUGAGGUCAGGAGUUCAAGACAAGCCUCGCCAACAUGGUGAAACCCCAUCUCAACUAAAAAUACAUAAAUUAGCCUGGCGUGGUGGCACGUGCCAGUAGUCCCAGCUACUCGGAGGCUGAGGCACGAGAAUCACUUCAACCCGGGAGGCAGAAGUUGCAGUGAGCCGAGAUCAUGCCACCACACUCCAGCCUGGGCCAGAGUGUGACUCCAUUUCGAAAACAAAAAGAUUUCUUUCUAUCUUUGCAAUCUCUUUGUGGAUUGCCACAUAUCAUGUUCUUUCUUAAUGCAUAUUCAAUAAUAAUACUAAUAAAACUAUUUUUCUUUCUCUACUACUUUUGUGAAGAGGAUUUCUGGGAGAUUACUUUUGUGGGAGAAGAUUUUGUUUUUAAUUCUGUUUCCCCAAUAAUGACAAAAAUAGUGGCAGUAGACUAACACAUUUUGUUCAUUUAGCGUUAAAGUACUUAGGCUGUCUUUUGAUACUGACUAUUGGAAAUGAAAUUGUAAAAACACAUCUCAUUCAUUGGAUUGGUUUCAGAAAGAAAAAAUUGGGAGAAAUGAAUUAUAGACCAGACUGUUCCUGAUUAGAAGCCACUUUCAGAUAUAACCAUUGUUAUAUGUGAAGUUGAUUUAAUACUACUGUAUAUAUAGUAGGCAAAAUUAAGCCAUUGUUUGAAACAUCAAGCCUUUCUAGAUUUUUUUUUUUGUGUGAGACAGGGUGUCAUUCUGUUGCCCAGUGGCUUGAUCAGAGAUCACUGCAGCCUCAAACUACUGGUCUCAAGGGAUCCUCCUGUCUUAGCCUCCCAAGUAGCUGGGACCACAGGCAUAUAUCACUACACCUGGUUAAUUUUAAAAUUUCUCUGGAGAUGGGGUCUCACUGUGUUGCCCAGGCUGGUUUCCAAUUCCUGGGCUCAAGCAAUCCUCCUGCCUCGACCUCCCAAAAUGCUGGGAUUACAGGUGUGGGCCACCUCACCCAGCCUCUAGAUCUUUAAAAGUACAAGAAGUGUGUUAAAAGUAGAGGUAGUAAAAUAAUACUGUGUUAGUGCAUUUUCACACUGCUGUAAAGAACUACCUGAGACUGGGUAAGUUAUAAACAAAAGAAGUGUAAUUGACUUACAGUUCCACAUGUCUGGGAGGCCUCAGGAAACUUAACAGUUAUGGUGGAAGAAGAAGGGGACGCAGGCACAGUCUUCAAAUGUCAGGACUAGAGGUGCACGCCACUAUGCCCAGCUAAAUUUGGUAUUUUUGGUAGAGACAGGGUUUCGCAAUGUUGGCCAGGCUCGUCUCAAACUCCUAAAAUCAACCAAUCUGCCUGCCUCAGCCUCCCAAAGUGCUGGGAUUACAGGCAUGACACCCAGCCCUGCCUAUUUUAAGUCCCACCGACUGGGAGGCUUAAAACAACAGAAUUGUAUUGUCUCACAGUUUUGGAGGUUAGGAGUUGAAAUUGAGUUUUCAGCAGGGCAGGUUCUUUCGGGAUGCUCUAAGGAAGGAUCUGUUCCUUGCCUCUCCGCUAGCUUCUGCUGGUUGCCGCAGUCUUUGGAGUUCUUACCUACAUCACUCUAGUCUUUGCCUCCCAAUGGAGGCUCUUGGCCUUCUUGACUAUGUGUCUCCAUGUGUUCUCUCUUCUCGUAAGGUCACCAGUCAUAUGAGAUUUAAAACCUACCUUAAUCCAGUAUGACUUCAUAUUUUAACUUAAUUAUAACUGCAAAUACCUUAUCUUCAAACAAGGUCACAUUCACAGGUAGUGGGGACUAGGAAUUGAAUGUACCUUUUUUAGGGGACACAGUGAAACCCACAACAGUUGCAGGUCAGUGAUGGCUCUUCUGCCAGAUGCUUCUUUCCAUUGCUGGAUGUAGCUGGACAUAGACUGACGAAGUGGCCCCUACUUAACAUGUGCUAUUCCUGUGAUAGAACAAACUAUACAUCUUAAAACAUCCAUUCAGAUCAGUCAUGUAUCAAGUUCUACUGCAUAACAGUUUUCAUCACAUGCCGUAACUCACUCUGUGUUAGGGAUUUCUGCUUCAGGGUCACGUUUGUACAAAACCUGCAUUGCCUCACGAUGACGGAAUUCCUGUUAAGAAUCAAUCUGGGGCUGGGCGCGGUGGCUCAUGCCUGUAAUCCCAGCACUUUGGGAGGCCGAGGCGGGUGGAUCACCUGAG